UACGUAGGCAGCAAGCGUUGUCCGGAUUUAUUGGGCGUAAAGAGCCCGCAGGCGGCUCGGCAAGUUUCAGGUGAAAUCUCCCGGCUUAACCGGGAGGGUGCCUGGAAACUGCCGGGCUUGAGGCAGGGAGAGGGAUGCGGAAUUCCCGGUGUAGUGGUGAAAUGCGUAGAUAUCGGGAGGAACACCAGUGGCGAAGGCGGCAUCCUGGCCCUGUCCUGACGCUCAGGGGCGAAAGCGUGGGGAGCAAACCGG
rnacentral:rRNA from 1 species